ACAUGUCACCCAGCCUGGGCUUGAAUUUCUGGACUCAAGAAAUUCCCCCACCUUGGCCUCCCAAGGUGCUGGGAUUAUAGGCGUGAGCCACUGCAGCUGGCCAAAAGGCCACUUUAUUUAAGGGGAUAAAUAUCUGAAAAACAUGGCACAUGUAAUUUAAUUCAAAACUUAAUAAGUAUCUUAGGAUAGGUAAUUAGGUAUUUUAUUAAUGGUUACUAUCAAGCCAUAUGUUUAGUGUUAAUCAGAAAUAUUAUUUGAUUAAUAAAACUGGCUUAUCUGCCUUUUGUAGAAUAAUUUUUUACAACAUUUUAUAAGAUAACUAGAAAGACUUAGAAGAGAAUAUUGAACAUAAUUUGCAAAGAUAAAUGUUUCAGAGAGCCUGUAUGUUACUAUUUUUGGUUAUAAAUGAAAAAUGUUUGGUUAUAAGUGAGAAAUAUCUUGUGAAAUUCUGAUUUAAUAAAUAUUAGAGGAAAUUAUAUUUUAGAGAUAAUUCCCGUCAAAAAAAUGUUCAGCUUUUACUUCCAUACCUAAAAAAAUGACAUAAUAUCAGUGGGUUGAUUCAGUUUGCUUAUUUUAAGAUUGCUGUGAAUAAUCUGUUAAGACUUUAUAUUAUUUAUUAGCAGUCUACUUCAUUCUCAUUUCUUCACUGUUUCAUCAGAGGAGGGGGAGAUGGAGAAGAAAAAAUUUUAAUAGUUAUUGUUCCUUGAAUGCCAAGCAUCAAGCCAAAUGCCUCAGAGAGAUUAUCUAUAAUCCUCACAACACCUGAACCUAUGUAUUUUUUUAGUCAGGAAAUAGAGCCUCAGAGUGAAAGGAACUAGCCAAGGUCACCCAGCUGGCUUUGAACAAAGUUUGAACUUGACCUAAGUCUUGGAUUAGUUUGGACCCUUUUCCACUAUAUUAUCUCUCUGAUUUGAAAUGUUAGUAUUACAGUAUUUCAAUAUGAAAACUUUAUCCAUUUUCAUUUAAAUCACACCAGAAUAAAAUACAGUGACUUUCGCCUCCCCAGUAGAGCUUUCACAACGAAGUAAAUUGAUUUUUAAGCCAUUUUAGUGAAAAAUCUAACAAACUGUUAUGCUGAUUUAUUCUGAACUAUGAGUGAUUUAAAUUUUAACUUUCCAUAUGUUGGCAGGUGUCAUGUGUCUGUUUACUUUUUGGAGGCUCUUCUGACAGUAACUGUUACCAACCACUGAUGAUCCAGCCUGUACUCUCUUCUAGCUUCACUUGAAAAAAAACUCAAUCUAGUAGUAAAGGAAAUAGGAAAAGAUGAAGGUGUCUAGUGUUUUAUUUUCACAUAUCUAAAUGUUGCAUUUAGAAAUUAUGGCAAAAUAUAUUGUAUAUGUAUAUGAGGAGAGAGAUUUAAUCCUUUUUUAUAUUGUAUUACUGAUAUAAUUUGAUACUUGGUUGUCUUUUUAAAUUCUAAGACUUUUGGUGAAAAUGCAGGCUUAUCCUGCAUUUAUCAUUAAUGAACCUUCAGACACUUUAUAAUGAUGCAACUUUUGAUUUAAUUUGUCAUGUUUACUGACUAAAGAGUUCAGCCACAGCUGAAUUUUAAAAGUAUAUAGUUAAAUGAA